AGGAUUAGAUACCCUGGUAGUCCACGCCCUAAACGAUGUAUGCUAGUUGUUGGGAUGCUAGUCAUCUCAGUAAUGCAGCUAACGCAUUAAGCAUACCGCCUGGGGAGUACGGUCGCAAGAUUAAAACUCAAAGGAAUAGACGGGGACCCGCACAAGCGGUGGAGCAUGUGGUUUAAUUCGAAGAUACGCGAAGAACCUUACCUGGGCUUGAUAUCCUAAGAACCUUAUAGAGAUAUGAGGGUGCUAGCUUGCUAGAACUUAGAGACAGGUGCUGCACGGCUGUCGUCAGCUCGUGUCGUGAGAUGUUGGGUUAAGUCCCGCAACGAGCGCAACCCACGUAUUUAGUUGCUAACGGUUCGGCCGAGCACUCUA
rnacentral:rRNA from 1 species